GACGAACGCUGGCGGCGUGCCUAAUACAUGCAAGUAGAACGCUGAAGGAGGAGCUUGCUUCUCUGGAUGAGUUGCGAACGGGUGAGUAACGCGUAGGUAACCUGCCUGGUAGCGGGGGAUAACUAUUGGAAACGAUAGCUAAUACCGCAUAAGAGUAGAUGUUGCAUGACAUUUGCUUAAAAGGUGCAAUUGCAUCACUACCAGAUGGCCCUGCGUUGUAUUAGCUAGUUGGUGAGGUAACGGCUCACCAAGGCAACGAUACAUAGCCGACCUGAGAGGGUGAUCGGCCACACUGGGACUGAGACACGGCCCAGACUCCUACGGGAGGCAGCAGUAGGGAAUCUUCGGCAAUGGACGGAAGUCUGACCGAGCAACGCCGCGUGAGUGAAGAAGGUUUUCGGAUCGUAAAGCUCUGUUGUAAGAGAAGAACGAGUGUGAGAGUGGAAAGUUCACACUGUGACGGUAUCUUACCAGAAAGGGACGGCUAACUACGUG
rnacentral:rRNA from 1 species